CACGUAGGGUGCGAGCGUUGUCCGGAAUUAUUGGGCGUAAAGAGCUCGUAGGCGGUGUGUCGCGUCGGCCGUGAAAACCUGCAGCUUAACUGUGGGCUUGCGGUCGAUACGGGCAUCACUGGAGUUCGGCAGGGGAGACUGGAAUUCCUGGUGUAGCGGUGAAAUGCGCAGAUAUCAGGAGGAACACCGGUGGCGAAGGCGGACGUCUGGCGGCGAUACUGACGCUGAGGAGCGAAAGCGUGGGGAGCGAACAGG
rnacentral:rRNA from 1 species